CCUUCCAGUAGCACCUUAAAGACCAACUAAGUUAGUUCUUGGUAUGAGCUUUCGUGUGCAUGCACACUUCUUCAGAUACCUUUUGACCAACUAAGUUACCAGAUGUUCUUGGUAUGAGCUUUCGUGUGCAUGCACACUUCUUCAGAUACACUGAAACAGAAGUUGCCAGAUCCUUCUAUAUAGUGAGAAGGUGGGGAGGGGUAUUACUCAGAAGGGUGGUGGGAAUGGGUGAUUGGCAGAUAGCUGUGAUGAGCCUGUUGACGACUUAACGACUGCAAUAGGUCUUACAGGAAAAAGCAAGGGGUGAGAAGGUGAAAAAUGGCUUUGUCAUGUAUAAUGAGAUAAGAAUCCAAUGUCUUUGUUCAGACCAGGUCUCUCCAUGGUUUUAAGUUUGGUAUGAGUUGCAAUUCAGCAGCUUCUCUUUCCAGUCUAUUUCUGAAAUUCCUUUGUAGUAAAACAGCUACUUUGAGAUCUUGUAUAGAAUGUCCUGGGAGAUUGAAGUGUUCUCCUACUGGUUUCUCUGUCUUGUGAUUCUUGAUGUCCGAUUUAUGUCCGUUUAUUCUUUGGCGUAAGGUUUGGCCUGUUUGUCCAAUAUAGAGAGCUGAAGGACACUGUUGGCAUUUGAUGGCAUAUACAAUGUUAGACGAUGAGCGAUUAAAUAGUCCCGAGAUGGUAUGUGUGAUGUUGUUGGGGCCAGUAAUGGUGUUGUCCGGGUGUAUGUGGCAGCAAAGUUGGCAUCUGGGUUUAUUGCAGGCUCUGGUGCCAGUGUCUGUGUUACGUCUGGUUGUAGUAUUAUUGUGGGUUAGGAGUUGUUUAAGAUUGGGUGGCUGUCUGUAGGCAAUGAAAGGUCUUCCUCCCAGAGCUUGAGAAAGAGAACUAUCAUUGUCCAGGAGAGGUUGUAGA